AUACGGAGGGUGCAAGCGUUACUCGGAAUCACUGGGCGUAAAGCGCGCGCAGGCGGCCAUUUAAGUUGGAUGUGAAAGCCUACGGCUCAACCGUAGAACUGCAUCCAAAACUAUUUGGCUAGAGUGUGGGAGAGGAAGAUGGAAUUAGUUGUGUAGGGGUAAAAUCCGUAGAGAUAACUAGGAAUACCAAAAGCGAAGGCAAUCUUCUGGAACAUUACUGACACUGAGGCGCGAAAGCGUGGGGAGCAAACAGGAUUAGAAACCCGGGUAGUCC
rnacentral:rRNA from 1 species